rnacentral:rRNA from 1 species
CCUACGGGUGGCAGCAGUGGGGGAUAUUGCACAAUGGGGGGAACCCUGAUGCAGCGACGCCGCGUGGGUGAAGGAGUAUUUCGGCAUGUAAAGCCCUAUCGGCAGGGAAGAAUUUAGACGGUACCUGACUAAGAAGCCCCGGCUAACUACGUGCCAGCAGCCGCGGUAAUACGUAGGGGGCAAGCGUUAUCCGGAUUCACUGGGUGUAAAGGGAGCGUAGACGGCCAGGCAAGCCUGGAGUGAAAGCCCGGGGCCCAACCCCGGGACUGCGCUGGGAACUGUCCGGCUGGAGUGCGGGAGGGGCAGGCGGAAUUCCUGGUGUAGCGGUGAAAUGCGUAGAUAUCAGGAGGAACACCGGCGGCGAAGGCGGCCUGCUGGACCGCGACUGACGUUGAGGCUCGAAAGCGUGGGGAGCGAACAGGAUUAGAUACCCUAGUAGUC